GCGCCCGUAGCUCAACGGAUAGAGCGUCGGUUUCCGGCGCCGAAGGCUGUGGGUUCGAAUCCCUCCGGGCGCGCCA
rnacentral:tRNA from 1 species